rnacentral:rRNA from 1 species
UACGAAGGGGGCGAGCGUUGUUCGGAUUUACUGGGCGUAAAGGGCUCGUAGGCGGCCAACUAAGUCGGACGUGAAAUCCCUCGGCUUAACCGGGGAACUGCGUCCGAUACUGGAUGGCUUGAGUUCGGGAGAGGGAUGCGGAAUUCCAGGUGUAGCGGUGAAAUGCGUAGAUAUCUGGAGGAACACCGGUGGCGAAGGCGGCAUCCUGGACCGACACUGACGCUGAGGAGCGAAAGCCAGGGGAGCAAACGGG